AUGCAAGUCGAACGAGACCUUCGGGUCUAGUGGCGCACGGGUGCGUAACGCGUGGGGAUCUGCCCUUUGCUUCGGAAUAACAGUUAGAAAUGACUGCUAAUACCGGAUGAUGUCGUAAGACCAAAGAUUUAUCGGCAAAGGAUGAACCCGCGUAGGAUUAGCUAGUUGGUGGGGUAAAGGCCUACCAAGGCGACGAUCCUUAGCUGGUCUGAGAGGAUGAUCAGCCACACUGGGACUGAGACACGGCCCAGACUCCUACGGGAGGCAGCAGUGGGGAAUAUUGGACAAUGGGCGAAAGCCUGAUCCAGCAAUGCCGCGUGAGUGAUGAAGGCCUUAGGGUUGUAAAGCUCUUUUACCCGGGAUGAUAAUGACAGUACCGGGAGAA
rnacentral:rRNA from 1 species